rnacentral:rRNA from 1 species
UACGAGAGGCCCACACGUUAUUCGGAUUUACUGGGCUUAAAGAGUUCGUAGGCGGCGCAGAAAGUAGGGUGUGAAAGCCCUCGGCUCAACCGAGGAAUUGCGCCCUAAACUACUGUGCUUGAGGAACCUAGAGGUGAGCGGAACUGAUGGUGGAGCGGUGAAAUGCGUUGAUAUCAGCAGGAACACCGGAGGCGAAGGCGGCUCACUGGGGGUUAUCUGACGCUGAGGAACGAAAGCCAGGGGAGCGAACGGG